rnacentral:rRNA from 1 species
GAGCCGCGGUAAAACGUAGGAGGCGAGCGUUAUCCGGAUUUACUGGGUGUAAAGCGCGUGCAGGCGGCUGGUCAAGUCCGAUGUGAAAUCUCCCGGCUCAACUGGGAAACUGCAUCGGAAACUGAUCGGCUUGAAGGUGGGAGAGGGUAGUGGAAUUCCCGGUGUAGUGGUGAAAUGCGUAGAUAUCGGGAGGAACACCAGUGGCGAAGGCGACUACCUGGCCCAUUCUUGACGCUGAGGCGCGAAAGCUAGGGGAGCGAAC